GGAAAGACCCCGUGAACCUUUACUAUAGCUUCACAUUGGUAUUGGGUAAUUCAUGUGUAGGAUAGGUGGGAGACUUUGAUGCUGCGUCGCUAGGCGUAGAGUAGUCGUUGUUGAAAUACCACCCUUGAAUUAUCUGAUGCCUAACCCGAUGAGGGGACAUUGUGUGGUGGGUAGUUUGACUGGGGUGGUCGCCUCCAAAAGAGUAACGGAGGCUCCUAAAGGUACCCUCAACACGUUUGGUAAUCGUGUGUAGAGUGUAAUGGCAUAAGGGUGCUUGACUGAGAGACCGACAAGUCGACCAGGUAGGAAACUAGAGCAUAGUGAUCCGGUGGUUCCGCAUGGAAGGGCCAUCGCUCAAAGGAUAAAAGGUACUCCGGGGAUAA
rnacentral:rRNA from 1 species